AAACUGAAGAGUUUGAUCCUGGCUCAGAUUGAACGCUGGCGGCAUGCCUUACACAUGCAAGUCGAACGGCAGCACGGGUGCUUGCACCUGGUGGCGAGUGGCGAACGGGUGAGUAAUACAUCGGAACAUGUCCUGUAGUGGGGGAUAGCCCGGCGAAAGCCGGAUUAAUACCGCAUACGAUCCAUGGAUGAAAGCGGGGGACCUUCGGGCCUCGCGCUAUAGGGUUGGCCGAUGGCUGAUUAGCUAGUUGGUGGGGUAAAGGCCUACCAAGGCGACGAUCAGUAGCUGGUCUGAGAGGACGACCAGCCACACUGGGACUGAGACACGGCCCAGACUCCUACGGGAGGCAGCAGUGGGGAAUUUUGGACAAUGGGCGAAAGCCUGAUCCAGCAAUGCCGCGUGUGUGAAGAAGGCCUUCGGGUUGUAAAGCACUUUUGUCCGGAAAGAAAUCCUUGGCUCUAAUACAGUCGGGGGAUGACGGUACCGGAAGAAUAAGCACCGGCUAACUACGUGCCAGCAGCCGCGGUAAUACGUAGGGUGCGAGCGUUAAUCGGAAUUACUGGGCGUAAAGCGUGCGCAGGCG
rnacentral:rRNA from 1 species